GUGCCAGCAGCCGCGGUAAUACGUAGGUGGCAAGCGUUGUCCGGAAUUAUUGGGCGUAAAGGGCUCGCAGGCGGUUCUUAAGUCUGAUGUGAAAGCCCCCGGCUCAACCGGGGAGGGUCAUUGGAAACUGGGGAACUUGAGUGCAGAAGAGGAGAGUGGAAUUCCACGUGUAGCGGUGAAAUGCGUAGAGAUGUGGAGGAACACCAGUGGCGAAGGCGACUCUCUGGUCUGUAACUGACGCUGAGGAGCGAAAGCGUGGGGAGCGAACAGGAUUAGAUACCCUGGUAGUCCACGCCGUAAACGAUGAGUGCUAAGUGUUAGGGGGUUUCCGCCCCUUAGUGCUGCAGCUAACGCAUUAAGCACUCCGCCUGGGGAGUACGGUCGCAAGACUGAAACUCAAAGGAAUUGACGGGGGCCCGCACAAGCGGUGGAGCAUGUGGUUUAAUUCGAAGCAACGCGAAGAACCUUACCAGGUCUUGACAUCCUCUGACAAUCCUAGAGAUAGGACGUCCCCUUCGGGGGCAGAGUGACAGGUGGUGCAUGGUUGUCGUCAGCUCGUGUCGUGAGAUGUUGGGUUAAGUCCCGCAACGAGCGCAACCCU
rnacentral:rRNA from 1 species